rnacentral:tRNA from 1 species
AGGGAUUUAGUGUAAUGGUAGCACAGCAGUCUCCAAAACUGUUCGUAUAGCUUCGAAACCUGUAACCCUUGC